UCCUGGUUAACCCAGGCAGUCUCAUUAGAGUUCCCACCAUUACGUGUUGGCAACUAAUGACAAGGGUUGCGCUCGUUGCGGGACUUAACCCAACACCUCACGGCACGAGCUGACGACAGCCAUGCAGCACCUGUGCAGAGGCCCCGAAGGGAGGCGCCAUUUCUGGCGCUGUCCUCUGCAUGUCAAGCCUAGGUAAGGUUCUUCGCGUUGCAUCGAAUUAAACCACAUGCUCCACUGCUUGUGCGGGUCCCCGUCAAUUCUUUUGAGUUUCAGCCUUGCGACUGUACUCCUCAGGCGGUAUACUUAACGCGUUCGCUACGGCACAGCCAGGGUUGAGUCCGGCUACACCUAGUAUACAUCGUUUACGGCAAGGACUAC
rnacentral:misc_RNA from 1 species